UUCGCCAGGGGACAACGAGCUCCGGCUUAAAACCCAAAGGACUUGGCGGUGCUUUAGACCCCCCUAGAGGAGCCUGUUCUAGAACCGAUACUCCCCGUUCAACCUCACCCUCUCUUGUUUUCCCCGCCUAUAUACCGCCGUCGUCAGCUUACCCUGUGAAGGUAUAACAGUAAGCAGAAUUGGCACAGCCUAAAACGUCAGGUCGAGGUGUAGCGUACGAGAGGGGAAGAAAUGGGCUACAUUUACUCUGCUCAGUAAAUACGGAUGUUGUACUGAAAACCCAUCUGAAGGAGGAUUUACCAGUAAGGGGAGAAUAGAGCGCCCCCCUGAAAACGGCCCUGAAGCGCGCACACACCGCCCGUCACUCUCCCCACUCUUUGGUGCCCCAUAACUAAUACCUGCAAACCAUAACAACCAGGGGAGGCAAGUCGUAACAUGGUAAGUGUACUGGAAGGUGCACUUGGAAAAACC
rnacentral:rRNA from 1 species